CCAAGGGGGGUCCCGACAAGGGGCUGAGAUACCGACGGAUGCCAGAAAUGGUGUCAGCGCGGUGACCCUUUGAACCUGAUCCGGGUCAUGCCGGCGAAGGGAAUGGAU
rnacentral:ncRNA from 1 species